UUGUGGAAUGCAAUGGUGUUGAUGAAGAAUAUGACCAGGAUGAUGAAGAGGGAUUGGACAUAAAUCCAAAACUGGGCUGCCGGGUUCAUUUUCCUAGUGACGUCAUGCGAGGAACGUAAGUGUUUGUAUGUAACAGACGAUGAACUCCGUUAAA